rnacentral:rRNA from 2 species
CAGAAGGGAGCUUGCUCCCGGAUGUUAGCGGCGGACGGGUGAGUAACACGUGGGUAACCUGCCUGUAAGACUGGGAUAACUCCGGGAAACCGGAGCUAAUACCGGAUAGUUCCUUGAACCGCAUGGUUCAAGGAUGAAAGACGGUUUCGGCUGUCACUUACAGAUGGACCCGCGGCGCAUUAGCUAGUUGGUGGGGUAAUGGCUCACCAAGGCGACGAUGCGUAGCCGACCUGAGAGGGUGAUCGGCCACACUGGGACUGAGACACGGCCCAGACUCCUACGGGAGGCAGCAGUAGGGAAUCUUCCGCAAUGGACGAAAGUCUGACGGAGCAACGCCGCGUGAGUGAUGAAGGUUUUCGGAUCGUAAAGCUCUGUUGUUAGGGAAGAACAAGUGCGAGAGUAACUGCUCGCACCUUGACGGUACCUAACCAGAAAGCCACGGCUAACUACGUGCCAGCAGCCGCGGUAAUACGUAGGUGGCAAGCGUUGUCCGGAAUUAUUGGGCGUAAAGGGCUCGCAGGCGGUUUCUUAAGUCUGAUGUGAAAGCCCCCGGCUCAACCGGGGAGGGUCAUUGGAAACUGGGAAACUUGAGUGCAGAAGAGGAGAGUGGAAUUCCACGUGUAGCGGUGAAAUGCGUAGAGAUGUGGAGGAACACCAGUGGCGAAGGCGACUCUCUGGUCUGUAACUGACGCUGAGGAGCGAAAGCGUGGGGAGCGAACAGGAUUAGAUACCCUGGUAGUCCACGCCGUAAACGAUGAGUGCUAAGUGUUAGGGGGUUUCCGCCCCUUAGUGCUGCAGCUAACGCAUUAAGCACUCCGCCUGGGGAGUACGGUCGCAAGACUGAAACUCAAAGGAAUUGACGGGGGCCCGCACAAGCGGUGGAGCAUGUGGUUUUAUUCGAAGCAACGCGAAGAACCUUACCAGGUCUUGACAUCCUCUGACAACCCUAGAGAUAGGGC